UCAGGACGAACGCUGGCGGCGUGCCUAACACAUGCAAGUCGAACGGAGCGAAAGCAGCUGCUGCUGGAGCUUAGUGGCGGACGGGUGAGUAACACGUGAGUAACCUGCCUUCAGAGGGGAAUAAUGUCUGGAAACGGACACUAAUACCGCAUAAUAUAUUGGGAUCGCAUGAUUUUGAUAUCAAAGGAGCAAUCCGCUGAAAGAUGGACUCGCGUCUGAUUAGCCAGUUGGCGGGGUAACGGCCCACCAAAGCGACGAUCAGUAGCCGGACUGAGAGGUUGAACGGCCACAUUGGGACUGAGACACGGCCCAGACUCCUACGGGAGGCAGCAGUGGGGGAUAUUGCACAAUGGGGGAAACCCUGAUGCAGCCAACGCCGCGUGCAGGAAGACGGUCUUCGGAUUGUAAACUGUUGUCCUCUGUGACGAUAAUGACGGUAGCAGAGGAGGAAGCCACGGCUAACUACGUGCCAGCCGCCGC
rnacentral:rRNA from 1 species